UGCGGAGGUGGUGGAAUGGCAGACACGCAUGCUUCAGGCGCAUGUGCUUUUUCAAGCGUGAGGGUUCAAAUCCCUUUCUCCGCAUAGC
rnacentral:tRNA from 1 species